rnacentral:rRNA from 1 species
GACGAACGCUGGCGGCGUGCCUAAUACAUGCAAGUCGAACGAGAGCGACCGGUGCUUGCACUGGUCAAUCUAGUGGCGAACGGGUGAGUAACACGUGGGUAACCUGCCCAUCAGAGGGGGAUAACAUCCGGAAACGGAUGCUAAAACCGCAUAGGUCUUCGAGCCGCAUGGCUUGAAGAGGAAAAGAGGCGCAAGCUUCUGCUGAUGGAUGGACCCGCGGUGCAUUAGCUAGUUGGUGAGGUAACGGCUCACCAAGGCCGUGAUGCAUAGCCGACCUGAGAGGGUGAUCGGCCACAAUGGGACUGAGACACGGCCCCAACUCCUACGGGAGGCCGCAGUAGGGAAUCUUCCGCAAUGGACGCAAGUCUGACGGAGCAACGCCGCGUGAGUGAAGAAGGUUUUCGGAUCGUAAAACUCUGUUGUUAGAGAAGAACAAGUGCUAGAGUAACUGUUAGCGCCUUGACGGUAUCUAACCAGAAAGCCACGGCUAACUACGUG